CCGCCCGCGCCCCGGGCCCAGUGGCUGAGGAGCCACCGGCCAGGUGUCAACGCAAAGCCAGGGGGAAACAUCUCUCCCAAGCAAGGGCAUCUUCCUUCAAACGAGUCGAAUUCCACUGCCCUGCUAUUUUAGAAAUAUAUGGCUGAAAAGAGCGGCGAGAUCCUACAUGUCAUCUAGUCCAGCCCCUUGCAUUGUUUUAACAGGGUGAAAUACACAAGCAAGAUCAGAAUAAAAGCAGAGGGUAUGUCUGUAUUGCAGAUGCCACAGAACAAGUGCCAGCUGGGUAGUAGCCUCCAGCACGCAAUGGCCCCAUUGUGCUUAGUGAUGUCAUACAUGUUGCCAGCUAUUAAUAAAACACUAUAUAUUGGCAAACUUCCGAGUCAUACAGGCUUAAACAUGCUCCUGCAGUAGUUAAUAGUACCCAAGUAUAUAGAAAGGGGAAGAAAAUUUAAAAUUGUACGAUUUAAAGAAUAAGUUCCGGACUCUUGUGCAAAAAUGAGUGUCUAAACAGAAGAGGCAGGGAUCACUACUGCUAAAAUUUUAUGAUAAAUAACCUUACAAUGAUAAACCAAGGACCAGGCUUCAUAUCCUGUCAUUGAAAGAAGGGGGAGCAGCAUAUUCUCACAUUGUGAUCUCUAAUUAUACUUGUACCUGAAGAGGAGCUCUGUAAAAUCCAAAAGCUUGCCUUUGUCACCAACAGAAAUUGAUCAAAGAAAAGGUAUUCCCACACCCACUUUAUUUCUCUUCUAUGCUGGGACCGUUAUGGCUACCAACAACACCUCAAAAAUUCUGAACAGGAUGUUUUGUACUGCAUUAUCUCUUCUCAUAUGAAAUUUCAGUCUUUGGAUCCCUAUGCCAAAAAGACUCUGCCAAUAGCCUGAACCUAUAGGAUGCUAACAAUCAAAAAUUUCCAUGAAACAGAAUGGUAGGAAAUAGGAUUCCUGAGAGAGCUGGCCUAGUUCAUAAUAUGGACAACUGAGAUUGGUUAAAUAAUAAAUAUGAACUUAAUGCUGGUUGGAGAGCACUGGAAUUAUAUGCUCCUUUUGCGCUGCCAUGCUCAAGAAGUGAGAUACCACAGGGAAGUGACUGUAAGAUGCUGGAGUACAGGCAGCCUACCUAAGUGGGUGAAGUAAGACCUUUCCUGAUGACUGUGGUGACAGGUUAAUGAGAAGCAAAGAUUCAGGGAUCAAACACUGAUCCAAGGGUGAAGCUGGAAUCAGGGUUGGGGGUGAAGCUGAAUAUCAGAACCAGAAUCAGAAGCUAAAGUCUAAGACUAUAGGUAAGCCAGAAUCAUAUUCAGAAGUACAGCCAUGGGGUCAGAGCUGAGAGUUAGAAGUCAAAGUCUGAGCUGAAGAGAAAGCUGGAAUCAGUCUGGGACACAGUUGAGAGCUGGAGCCAGGAGUCAGAAACCUAGACAGGAAAAUUGGGGCUGAAGAAGGGCUUGGACCAAGGACUGGAAAAGAAAGCAGAAGUGAGAGACGUGUAAGCACAGCUGCAGGCAUAGUAUGUUUUGAGCAACCAGCACAACCAUCUGAAGGGAGCUCAUUGGGCCCAGCUCAAGUUGUCAGGUUGCCUACCGCCCAAGCUGAGAGCCACAUGGCCCUCCUGUCAGUGAUGGACUAGUUGCAAUUCCCACAUGGACUUCCUCAUCAGCUCCAGGUACAGAGAGUUGAAACAGUCCCAACCUGAAGGAGGCAAAUUCACAGAUCACUGCAGCUGUCUUCAAGAGGACAGCACCAAAACUCUUUACUAGCAGAAAAUGGCUGAUUUUUUUAUUACAAUUGCCAUUUUGGAUGUUCAGGAGCAACAAUGAAUCCAAGAGAACCAAAAAGUUGCACACCACUUUGACAAUUAGUGGUACGAAUUCUCAGUUGAAGGUAUGAUUGAAGUUGUUGCCAGUUCUUCAAAGUGCUCAUUUCUAUCAUAAUCACCUCAGUCCUUUCUCAGAACCAUGUUGCUACCCAUAAGA